GGCGAACGCUGGCGGCAGGCCUAACACAUGCAAGUCGAACGAAGUCUUCGGACUUAGUGGCGGACGGGUGAGUAACACGUGGGAACGUGCCCUUUGGUACGGAAUAACUCAGGGAAACUUGAGCUAAUACCGUAUGUGCCCUUCGGGGGAAAGAUUUAUCGCCAUUGGAGCGGCCCGCGUCUGAUUAGCUAGUUGGUGAGGUAAAGGCUCACCAAGGCGACGAUCAGUAGCUGGUCUGAGAGGAUGAUCAGCCACAUUGGGACUGAGACACGGCCCAAACUCCUACGGGAGGCAGCAGUGGGGAAUCUUGCGCAAUGGGCGAAAGCCUGACGCAGCCAUGCCGCGUGAAUGAUGAAGGUCUUAGGAUUGUAAAAUUCUUUCACCGGGGACGAUAAUGACGGUACCCGGAGAAGAAGCCCCGGCUGACUUCGUGCCAGCCGCCGCCGUAAGAC
rnacentral:rRNA from 1 species